rnacentral:rRNA from 1 species
UACGUAGGGCGCAAGCGUUGUCCGGAAUUAUUGGGCGUAAAGAGCUCGUAGGCGGCUUGUCGCGUCGACUGUGAAAUCCCGCGGCUCAACCGCGGGUCUGCAGUCGAUACGGGCAGACUAGAGUGUGGUAGGGGAGAUCGGAAUUCCUGAUGUAGCGGUGAAAUGCGCAGAUAUCAGGAGGAACACCGGUGGCGAAGGCGGAUCUCUGGGCCAUUACUGACGCUGAGGAGCGAAAGCGUGGGGAGCGAACAGG